CCCUGCCAUUUGUACACACCGCCCGUCGCUUCUACCGAUCGAGUGAUACGGUGAACCUUCUGGACCGUAGGGGCCUCGAGCCUCCUGUGGGAAGUUAAGUAAACCUUAUCACUUAGAGGAAGAAGAAG
rnacentral:rRNA from 1 species